GACGAACGCUGGCGGCGUGCUUAACACAUGCCAGUCGAACGAAGAGCGAUGGAAGCUUGCUUCUAUCAAUCUUAGUGGCGAACGGGUGAGUAACGCGUAAUCAACCUGCCCUUCAGAGGGGGACAACAGUUGGAAACGACUGCUAAUACCGCAUACGAUCUAACCUCGGCAUCGAGGAUAGAUGAAAGGUGGCCUCUACAUGUAAGCUAUCACUGAAGGAGGGGAUUGCGUCUGAUUAGCUAGUUGGAGGGGUAACGGCCCACCAAGGCGAUGAUCAGUAGCCGGUCUGAGAGGAUGAACGGCCACAUUGGGACUGAGACACGGCCCAGACUCCUACGGGAGGCAGCAGUGGGGAAUCUUCCGCAAUGGACGAAAGUCUGACGGAGCAACGCCGCGUGAGUGAUGACGGCCUUCGGGUUGUAAAGCUCUGUUAAUCGGGACGAAAGGCCUUCUUGCGAAUAGUUAGAAGGAUUGACGGUACCGGAAUAGAAAGCCACGGCUAACUACGU
rnacentral:rRNA from 1 species